AUGAACGCUGGCGGCGUGCCUAAUACAUGCAAGUCGAGCGAACAGACGAGGAGCUUGCUCCUCUGACGUUAGCGGCGGACGGGUGAGUAACACGUGGAUAACCUACCUAUAAGACUGGGAUAACUUCGGGAAACCGGAGCUAAUACCGGAUAAUAUAUUGAACCGCAUGGUUCAAUAGUGAAAGACGGUUUUGCUGUCACUUAUAGAUGGAUCCGCGCCGCAUCAGCUAGUUGGUAAGGUAACGGCUUACCAAGGCAACGAUGCGUAGCCGACCUGAGAGGGUGAUCGGCCACACUGGAACUGAGACACGGUCCAGACUCCUACGGGAGGCAGCAGUAGGGAAUCUUCCGCGAUGGGCGAAAGCCUGACGGAGCAACGCCGCGUGAGUGAUGAAGGUCUUCGGAUCGUAAAACUCUGUUAUUAGGGAAGAACAAAUGUGUAAGUAACUAUGCACGUCUUGACGGUACCUAAUCAGAAAGCCACGGCUAACUACGUG
rnacentral:rRNA from 1 species